UGUGGAGUCUUAUUGUCUAGCAAGAUAGAUAAUGAUAACAUCACCAUUUCCCGUUUUAUAGUGUAAGGAAUAUCUUUUCUAACAUGUCAAUUUGCAGCUUCACCAAUUGUGAGCUUCGCUCUAUGGUCCUCGUAGACAGAAGCAUGACAGGAUCAGAUUCCUCAACAACUGAUUAUCCAGGAAAGGUUCCUUAUGGUGUGGAUCUCCCUAGUGACGUUGCAAAUGAGAAUUUUGAGAAAGAAAACCCUUAAUUUUAUUUUAUUUUUUUGGAUUUACAAAAUGGAAAAGAGAGAAAAGAAAAGGGGUUUCCAUGUAAGUCCAAUUCCAAGUGAUGAAACCAGUCAUAAUUUCUGAGAAUCUGGCUUUUUUCUGUAUC